rnacentral:rRNA from 1 species
CCUACGGUAGUCAGCAGUGGGGAAUAUUGGGCACUGGAGGAACCUCUGACCCAGCAACGCCGCGUGAAUGAUGCAGGUCUUCGGAUUGUAACGUUCUUUUCUAAGGUAAGACGAACGUGACGGUACCUUCGGAAUACGCCUCGUCUAACUACGUGCCAGCAGCCGCGGUCAUACGUAGGCGGCGCGCGUUAUACGGAGUUACUGGGCGUAAAGGGUGCGUAGGUGGUUUGGCAAGUUAGUAGCGUAACUCCAAGGCUCAACCUUGGAACUACUACUAAAACUGUUGGACUUGAGUGCAGGAGGGGCAACCGGAAUUCCUAGUGUAGCGGUGGAAUGCGUAGAUAUUAGGAGGAACACCAGUGGCGAAGGCGGGUUGCUAGACUGUAACUGACACUGAGGCACGAAAGCGUGGGGAGCAAACAGGAUUAGAUACCCGAGUAGUC